UUUUCUGCAGAUAAUAAAAUUAACACGAUUGAAAAAAACGUUUAAUUCAAAAAAUGUGUGUUCAACUUUUAACGUGUUAUCUGUGUUGACCAUGUCCAUUAUUGUUCUAUGCUCUGUCGUCAUAUAGGAGUCAUGUCAUGUUAUAUAUGUAAUUAAUGUAAGUAGGAGUAGGAGUUUCACAAAUAAUUGAUAUCCUAUCAGUUUUACAAAUGUUCGUAUUCAAUUGUUGAAAUUCUUGAUAAGAAAAUAGAUUAUUUCUUUAACAAAUAAGCAUGACUUCUAUUAGCGAAGUUAGUUCACUACCUAAAACAAAGAAACCUUCAGAUAGUGCAUUUAAGCAGCAACGUUUACCUGCUUGGCAACCAAUACUUACAGCUGGGACUGUUUUACCAACAUUUUUUGUGAUUGGGAUUGCUUUUAUACCAGUUGGAGUUGGAUUGCUUUAUUUUUCUGAUCAAGUUAAAGAAUACAUUUUAGAUUAUACAGAUUGUAAUUCUACAAAUAUCUUUCGUGCAAAAGGAAUGCCUGCUAAAUGUGCAGAUAUUCUAGCAGAAGGUCAUAGUCAACCUUGUUAUUGUAAAAUAAAUUUUACUUUGCCUUCUGACUUCAAUGGAAAAAUUUAUAUGUAUUAUGGUUUGACUAAUUUUUAUCAGAAUCACAGACGAUAUGUAAAAUCAAGAGAUGAUAAUCAACUGUUAGGAAAAUUGAGUCCUGAUGUCUCUGGGGAUUGUGAACCAUUUGCUUAUAUUGGAGAAACACCUAUUGUACCAUGUGGUGCUAUUGCUAACUCAUUAUUUAGUGAUGAUUUAACAUUGUUUUCUUUAAAACACAAAGCUCCUGUACCAUUAUUAAAGACUGGUAUAGCUUGGCCCUCAGAUAAAAAUAUUAAAUUUAGAAAUCCAGAGGGUAACUUGAGAGAAGUAUUUAAGAAUUUUACAAAACCAAAAAAUUGGGAUAAAUAUAUUUAUGAGUUAGAUAAUGAAAAUGAAAGCAAUAAUGGUUUUCAAAAUGAAGACUUAAUUGUUUGGAUGAGAACUGCUGCUUUGCCUACUUUUAGAAAACUUUACCGCAGAGUAAAUCAUACAGUAGAUGGCUUCACUGAAGGUCUAGUAGCAGGGAAUUAUACACUUACUGUUAAUUAUACAUAUCCUGUGUCUACCUUUGAUGGCAGGAAAAGAAUGAUUUUAAGCACUACUUCUCUUCUUGGUGGAAAGAAUCCUUUUCUUGGCAUUGCUUAUAUAGUUGUAGGAUGUAUUUGUUUGUUGUUAGGCAUUAUAUUAUUAAUAAUACACAUCAAAUGUUCUAAAAGCAAACUAAUGUAAAGAUGACUGCAACAAAGUAUGCUUAGGGCACCGUAAUUGUUCUUUGUAACAGAGAUGAUAAAUGUGACUCCAAAUACACCAUAUCAAGAAUAAUUAUACAUAGUUGUUAUAAAAAUUGAAGAACAUUCUGGAUAUCCUGCAUUUAAUUUAAGGAACAUCAUAAUUCUCUGUUGUUAUGAAGAAUAUAAAAAAUCAAUAUGUAAUAUCAACAUAGUAUUUAUGUAUGAUAAAAUAUAUAUUAUAAUAUAAGAUUAUAACAUUUAUUAGAACAUAGAACAUAAGAUUGUAAGUAUUUAUAUAUCUUUCAUGUACAUGUAUUGAGAUACUCAAAGUAUAAAUCACUUUAGAAUGAUGUAAAGACAUCAAGAAAGAUGACAUACAAAUUUUUUAUAUUUUUAGAACUCUAACAAAUUAAAUAAUUUUACUGAAAAAUCAACCUAAUUAGGAACAAAUGAAAGUUAUAAACAUGAUCUGCUACAAUAUUAAAAUAAAAACAAUAUGAUUUUUGUGUAUCUUAGUACAUUUUAAAUUUUUAUGUGUAACAUUAUUAUAUAGUACAUUUUCAAAUUAUAACUUAUUGUGAACUAUU